rnacentral:lncRNA from 1 species
CUCUUGCCUGCAGCCAUGUAAGAUGUCUCUUUUGCUCUUCUUUCAUCUUCCACCAUGAUCAUGAGGUCUCCUCAGCCAUGUGAAACAGGAUGUCAUGGGAAUUCUGCUUCUUGGCAAUUUUCACGGAUUGUAAAAUUAGCUUACCAACUUGCAUAAAAACUUCUGUAUGUUAUUGAAUAUCAUCAGUUUUAGCAAGCAUUCUUGUCUCAUUCCUGAUUUUAGAGGAAAUACUUGAACUUCUCACUCGAAAGGAACUAAAAUAAUUCUGAGUACUAGCAAGGACUAAGAUGAAGUUCAAUGUUAUGACUGCAAAGUGAAAUGAUCAGAAGUUUCAUGGCCAUGAGUACUGCUGCCUGGCCCGGGCAUGAGAAAUGAGUUUGCUCUAGACUGCAGAUUGUGAAGACGAGCUUUGCAAAAAUCUAACAUCUAGUGCAUUCUGACUAUGGAGAGGAUAUAAUUGAUACCUUGAGAUCUCCUGAACAUACUGACAUUUGGUGGUCAUUGCUUCCUCUCUGAACACCUUCCUUAAUGUGAGAAGGAACUUGGAAUCGCUGUAAGAUCCUGAAGGGUUGCAACGAUUGAAUCAAAAGCAAAGGAUGGAGGAGUGCAGUGAGGGAAAGAGAUAUUUGUG